CUACAUGAUGACAAAGGGCCAUAGCGCCUGAAUAAUCCCAGCUCUUCGAAUGCCUCAAAUUAACGCAGAGGACAUACUGAGAUAAAAAACACACUCUGACUG
rnacentral:snoRNA from 1 species